ACACUCCUACGGGAGGCAGCAGUGGGGAAUUUUGGACAAUGGGCGAAAGCCUGAUCCAGCAAUGCCGCGUGAGUGAAGAAGGCCUUCGGGUUGUAAAGCUCUUUUGUCAGGGAAGAAACGGUGAGAGCUAAUAUCUCUUGCUAAUGACGGUACCUGAAGAAUAAGCACCGGCUAACUACGUGCCAGCAGCCGCGGUAAUACGUAGGGUGCAAGCGUUAAUCGGAAUUACUGGGCGUAAAGCGUGCGCAGGCGGUUUUGUAAGUCUGAUGUGAAAUCCCCGGGCUCAACCUGGGAAUUGCAUUGGAGACUGCAAGGCUAGAAUCUGGCUGAGGGGGGUAGAAUUCCACGUGUAGUAGUGAAAUGCGUAGAUAUGUGGAGGAACACCGAUGGCGAAGGCAGCCCCCUGGGUCAAGAUUGACGCUCAUGCACGAAAGCGUGGGGAGCAAACAGGAUUAGAAACCCUGGUAGUCCCAUG
rnacentral:rRNA from 1 species